rnacentral:misc_RNA from 1 species
GCUUUUCAAUGGCGAAUUCCAAAGGGCCAUGUACCAUGAGAAAUAUGAUGUACAAUGGGAAGAGCUCUUUACUUCCACCGAAAAGCCCCUUUCCUAGUAUGGCCCCAUCAUAUGUCGAUUAUGUUCCUAGUUCUGCUUUCAACCAAAAGGGCAUUCAGAAACCCAGAGAAGGAAAUUCACACCAUCAGCGUACUUCCUCUGAAAGCUGUAUUAUAGAGGAGCAACCG